rnacentral:rRNA from 1 species
UGAGCAAUCUGCCCUUCUCAUCGGAAUAAGCGUUGGAAACGACGUCUAAUGCCGAAUACGACCUCCUUUCGCAUGAUCGGAGGUGGAAAGCUCCGGCGGAGAAGGAUGAGCUCGCGGCCUAUCAGCUAGUUGGUGUGGGUAAUGGCCCACCAAGGCGACGACGAGUAGCCGGCCUGAGGAGGGUGACCCGGCCACACGUGGGACUGAGACACGGCCCAGACUCCGUAGGGACG